UAGUAAUGGCAGGUCAGCAUACUGCCGUGAAUACGUUCCCGGGCCUUGUACACACCGCCCGUCACACCAUGAGAGUUGGGAAUACCCGAAGCCUGUGAGCUAACAUUUAUGAGGCAGCAGUCGAAGGUAGAAUCAAUGAUUGGGUGAAGUCGUAACAAGGUAGC
rnacentral:rRNA from 1 species